rnacentral:tRNA from 1 species
GGAAACUAAGAAUAUAUGAUUAUAGUGUACGUAUAUUAUACGGGCAUGGCCUGACGUCAUUUCUA